rnacentral:lncRNA from 1 species
UAUAGUCAUAUAAAGGGAAGUGAAAAAAGGGAUGCUAUUUAAUAAUGUAUGGCUUGUGUUUGUUAUCUUCAGGAACAAUCAUGGUUUCAAGAUUGUGCUGCCCACCCGGCCUGCUGUCAAUAUGGAGUAUUACUGAGAUGCGGGUCAUGGGGACAUUUCUAUGUGGCCGCGACACGACUGCAUCACCAGUGGUCAACGGAGACUUAAUCAGGCUGCCGGACAAAUAACUGACAGUUACACAAAUCGCAUUUCAUCGAGCCUGAUAAUGAAUGAAAAUAGAGACGUCACGGCAAUGUGAACUUAGCAGAUCCUUUUGAACAAUCUUUCGGAAGGAAACAGCGUCAUCUUUGUUUGCUU